GCAGUCGAGCGGCAGCACAGAGGAACUUGUUCCUUGGGUGGCGAGCGGCGGACGGGUGAGUAAUGCCUGGGAAAUUGCCCGGUAGAGGGGGAUAACCAUUGGAAACGAUGGCUAAUACCGCAUAACCUCGUAAGAGCAAAGCAGGGGACCUUAGGGCCUUGUGCUACCGGAUAUGCCCAGGUGGGAUUAGCUAGUUGGUGAGGUAAGGGCUCACCAAGGCGACGAUCCCUAGCUGGUCUGAGAGGAUGAUCAGCCACACUGGAACUGAGACACGGUCCAGACUCCUACGGGAGGCAGCAGUGGGGAAUAUUGCACAAUGGGCGCAAGCCUGAUGCAGCCAUGCCGCGUGUAUGAAGAAGGCCUUCGGGUUGUAAAGUACUUUCAGUAGGGAGGAAGGUGRUUAAGUUAAUACCUUAAUCAUUUGACGUUACCUACAGAAGAAGCACCGGCUAACUCCGUGCCAGCAGCC
rnacentral:rRNA from 1 species